AUAAUACGUUCGUAUGUAACUCAUCAUAUCCCUUCCAAAUUUAAAAAUAUUGGUCUUGGAAAGUUGCACUAAAUAUGACUACGGUCGUCCCGCGAGAUUGCCGGACCACCGGCGCGUGGAGUCACGAUUAUGAGACACUCGCUACACAAUGCGUUCAGACCACGAUUUUUAUUUCCGUUUCGUUUUUUUAUUUUUUGAAACGUCGGCAAAUCGAUCUCGAAGAAAUGUCACAAGUACCUGCAAAACAAUAAAUUUCCAAUAUGGAAAAUGAAACCUACUCGUAAAUUAUUCGAUGUUGAAAAAAAAUCAAAUAUUAUAAAGCGCACAACGAUCAAGGAAUAACAAGUAAAAACGUAAAAUGGGUAAUUGAACUCCGAAGCCAUUGUAUGCAGGCUUGUAACAAUUAUUCCUCGAACAAAAUGGUCAAAUUAAAAUGCAAAAUUUAAAAAAAAAUCCAAUUAUUUUUCGGAAUGACCGUAUGUUGCAUACUUCGUUUGUACAUGACCGAAGUUACUCAUAAAUCAGCUAAUACUACAGUACCUGAUGCUGCGCUAUGAAACAUCAUCGCUCUCACCUGUUGGUCGAGCGCCACCUGUUCGUGCGCCUCGUCCCAGUCGCACGAAGACGGACUGUCGACCAGCGACGGCGGAAAACGGCAGAAAUUGUUGACGGGUGACUGGACGGAUCGCUCGUA